rnacentral:rRNA from 1 species
UACAGAGGGUGCGAGCGUUGUUCGGAAUUAUUGGGCGUAAAGCGAGUGUAGGCGGGAUGGUAUGUCGGGUGUGAAAGCCCUCAGCUCAACUGAGGAAGUGCGCCCGAAACUGCUGUUCUUGAGUGUCGGAGAGGGUGGCGGAAUUCCCGGUGUAGAGGUGAAAUUCGUAGAUAUCGGGAGGAACACCAGUGGCGAAGGCGGCCACCUGGACGAACACUGACGCUGAGACUCGAAAGCGUGGGGAGCAAACAGG